UAGGCUGAUGAGCUCCACCUGUGGACUUGGUCAGGGGCUGCAGCGAAGGACAGAGAGUUGAGAGGAAUACCAUAGACAGGACAUACAUAAAACUACUUCAGCCAAACCAUUGAGUGGUUUCUAAACCAAAACUUUACACUUGGGUCUCCACUCAGUCGGCAAUUUGAUGGAGCUUCUUGGAGAAACCAGAUGCGAGGCUCCUGCCAUGACAAUGAACACUCAGUGAAAUGCGAGGGCACGGCGUAUGGUGUAGCAGUACAGCGUGCGACCCAUGUAGGCCUGGAUCCUCGACGCAGAUGUUCCGGUUUUAAUCCCCAACCCUGCUUUUUAGAUCCUGACCUCCACAAUCUGAAAAACAUCCCACAGAAGAUGCAGCUGCUAAAAUACUGUCCCAUCCAAACUGCUUCCUGAUGAUAUUACUGAUCACAUCCUGGUUUCUCCAAACUUCAAUUACAAUUUAUCUGCAGCCAGCUGGUAGCAAAGAGGUUCUCCUUCAGAACAAAAGGUUUGUUUUGUAUUUCUGGUAUACUCCCAUUUUUACUCAUCUCUUGUGUGUAUAUAUAUAUAUAUAUAUAUAUAUAUAUAUAUUUUUUUUUUUUUUUUUUUUUUACAUUUUACCACAGUAUUAGACAUCUUUAAAACAUGUAUUGAUGUAUUUAAAUGUUCUUUUAGGGAAUAAAUCUACAAACCUUACGCACAAUUUAAAAUUCAUACCUAUCUAGCAUUUGAUCUAGCAUUCUCAAUACAGAGAUGGGCUUUGCCAGUUAUCGGUCAUUUCAUAGUUCUGUUUUGGCCGUUUUGGAAGCGAUGUUUUUCAGGUACAAAAACAUGCAGUCAGCUGCAGGAUGACAAGCCAGGCUUCUGGAAACCUAAGAGCUACUAGAAAGGUCUACAUUUGGGGGUGGACAGUUCUGGUCGUCAAAGGCAGGUGUCCUGUGUCAGACAUUUGAAACUGCUUGAACAUAGCUGAGUUAAAUGACUGCAUUGUUAGCAGGCCCACGCCAAACUUGAUGACAGGCUGAGGAAGGAAUUUAAUGAUCAAUCAGGUGUUGGAGCAGAGACACGUCUAAAACAUCUGAAACCAGCCCUUGAGGACUGAAGUUGCCCACCUCUAGUCUGCAUUCUCAAGGGAAUGACGUUAAUAAUGCUAACUGUGCUAAUCACUAAUAUAAGAUGCUUAAGAUUUUACAAUGUCAACUAUAAAUAAUUUUGUCACAUAAACCCUGUUUUACAGUGCAUGCUCUGUCUCACACACAGUGUGACAUCACAUCUGCUAAUAAUAUUCAUACGAUUUUAUGACAGCACACAGCAGGAGGGCUACAAUGAAAUAUUAUGAAGAUUUUAACUAUAAUUAGAGAAAGUGGAAUCUGCUAACAUUUGUAUCAUUUGAUUGAAGCUAUAGAUCAGAAUUCAGUCAAACUCUGAUUGGGGGAUUUCUAAUCCUGGCUGUUAGAAGCUCUGUUGAAGUACAAUUUACUAGUUCAUAGCAUAGCGAUGCUGAUUGAAUAAACUGGGUGGAAGACACAACUCACUGAUCUUUGCACCACAAUCAUCCUGUGAGUCAAAAACUAAGCAUUUUCUAAGUUAUAACACCAAGGUGUGUGUAAUCUG